rnacentral:rRNA from 1 species
UCGGCCUUAGUGGCGGACGGGUGAGUAACGCGUAGGAAUCUAUCCAUGGGUGGGGGAUAACUCUGGGAAACUGGAGCUAAUACCGCAUGAUACCUGAGGGUCAAAGGCGCGAGUCGCCUGUGGAGGAGCCUGCGUUCGAUUAGCUUGUUGGUGGGGUAAUGGCCUACCAAGGCGAUGAUCGAUAGCUGGUCUGAGAGGAUGAUCAGCCACACUGGGACUGAGACACGGCCCAGACUCCUACGGGAGGCAGCAGUGGGGAAUAUUGGACAAUGGGGGCAACCCUGAUCCAGCAAUGCCGCGUGUGUGAAGAAGGUUUUCGGAUUGUAAAGCACUUUCGGCGGGGACGAUGAUGACGGUACCCGCAGAAGAAGCCCCGGCUAACUUCGUGCCAGCAGCCGCGGUAAUACGAAGGGGGCUAGCGUUGCUCGGAAUGACUGGGCGUAAAGGGCGUGUAGGCGGUUUGUACAGUCAGAUGUGAAAUCCCCGGGCUUAACCUGGGAGCUGCAUUUGAUACGUGCAGACUAGAGUGUGAGAGAGGGUUGUGGAAUUCCCAGUGUAG